rnacentral:rRNA from 1 species
GGGAUAUUGCACAAUGGGGGAAACCCUGAUGCAGCGACGCCGCGUGAGUGAAGAAGUAUUUCGGUAUGUAAAGCUCUAUCAGCGGGGAAGAAAAUGACGGUACCUGACUAAGAAGCUCCGGCUAAAUACGUGCCAGCAGCCGCGGUAAUACGUAUGGAGCAAGCGUUAUCCGGAUUUACUGGGUGUAAAGGGAGCGUAGACGGCAUGGCAAGUCUGAUGUGAAAGGUGCGGGCUCAACCCACAAACUGCAUUGGAAACUGUCUAGCUAGAGUGUCGGAGAGGUAAGUGGAAUUCCUAGUGUAGCGGUGAAAUGCGUAGAUAUUAGGAGGAACACCAGCGGCGAAGGCGGCUUACUGGACGAUAACUGACGUUGAGGCUCGAAAGCGUGGGGAGCAAACA